CCAGACUCCUACGGGAGGCAGCAGUGGGGAAUAUUGGACAAUGGACCAAGAGUCUGAUCCAGCAAUUCUGUGUGCACGAUGAAGUUUUUCGGAAUGUAAAGUGCUUUCAGUUGGGAAGAAAAAAAUGACGGUACCAACAGAAGAAGUGACGGCUAAAUACGUGCCAGCAGCCGCGGUAAUACGUAUGUCACAAGCGUUAUCCGGAUUUAUUGGGCGUAAAGCGCGUCUAGGUGGUUAUAUAAGUCUGAUGUGAAAAUGCAGGGCUCAACUCUGUAUUGCGUUGGAAACUGUGUAACUAGAGUACUGGAGAGGUAAGCGGAACUACAAGUGUAGAGGUGAAAUUCGUAGAUAUUUGUAGGAAUGCCGAUGGGGAAGCCAGCUUACUGGACAGAUACUGACGCUGAAGCGCGAAAGCGUGGGUAGCAAACAGGAUUAGAUACCCUGGUAGUCCACGCCGUAAACGAUGAUUACUAGGUGUUGGGGGUCGAACCUCAGCGCCCAAGCAAACGCGAUAAGUAAUCCGCCUGGGGAGUACGUACGCAAGUAUGAAACUCAAAGGAAUUGACGGGGCCCGCACAAG
rnacentral:rRNA from 1 species